UUCAUCUCCCUCUCCCUUUCUUUUGCCCAGCCAAGUGACAACCCGAGAGAGAGAGAGGGAGGGAGGGAGAGAGAGAGAGAGAGACGCUGGGUUUGAGAAGAAAAAGAAGAAGAAAAGAAGAUGGGUUUUCGGCCAUGGGUUUUCAUGAGGUGGUUGGCUGAGUCAGGGCCUGCGAUUGAUGAAUUGUGGGUUGGGUAAUUUCCUCUCUUACAAUUGAGCUAACUUUUCAAAGAGCUGUGGGUUCUUUAAUUGUAAACCAAGAUUCAUGGAAUCUACCACUGCCAACACUCAUCUGCUUAUGUUAAAUUCUGGUUGCAUUAGUUAAAUUUUUGAUACACUUAAUGUCUUAUCAGAUUUUUGGAUCCAUCCAAUGUUUUAGAUGUAAUCUGACAAG